GACGAACGCUGGCGGCGUGCUUAACACAUGCAAGUCGAACGAAGUGGCGAACGGGUGAGUAAUACGUGGGUAACCUGCCCUCCUUUGUGGGAUAAGCCUUGGAAACGUGGUCUAAUACCGAAUAGGGGGGGCUGGGCUGGCGGGCUAUCAGCUUGUUGGUGGGGUGAUGGCCUACCAAGGCGGUGAAGGGUAGCUGGUCUGAGAGGGUGACCGGCCACACUGGGACUGAGAUACGGCCCAGACUCCUACGGGAGGCAGCAGUGGGGGAUAUUGCACAAUGGGCGCAAGCCUGAUGCAGCCAUGCCGCGUGUAUGAAGAAGGCCUUAGGGUUGUAAAGUACUUUCAGCGGGGAGGCGUUACCCGCAGAAGAAGCACCGGCUAACUCCGUGCCAGCAGCCGCGGUAAUUC
rnacentral:rRNA from 1 species